GUAUUCUUAGGAUGUGAAACUCACUUAUACAGAGUAACAUAAGCAGAUUCCACCAGGCCAACUAUGGGUCAUGAGUAUGCACAAUUUCAGUAUAUGCGGGGCAUCCUGAAACCAUUCCAUUGAGUAUACCAAGGGACAACUGUACAGGUGCAGCUUAUGUGGUAAAAAUGGGCAGAACAACUUCAUAUUUCUUCCAUGUCAAUAAAAGAGAAACAUUUCAUAUUAAGCAGGACUGUGUUAUUACAGGAAUCACUGACCCUGAAGGAUGUGGCUGUGGACUUCACCUGGGAGGAGUGGCAGCUCCUGGGCCCUGCUCAGAAGCGUCUGUACCGGGAUGUGAUGUUGGAGAACUACAGCAACCUUGUGUCAGUGGGGUAUCAAGCCAGCAAACCUGAUGCCCUCACCAAGUUGGAACAAGGAGAACCUCUAUGGACAUUAGAAGAUGAAAUCCACAGUCCAGCCCAUCCAGGUAAGUGAGAGAGAACCAGCAAGAGGGGAGGGCAGUGGAAAUCACAUUCUGGUCAUUUAGAGAAGGCAUGACAGUUAUGAAAGUGUCUAGGGAGACAGAAACAGCUGCCACAUCUUCUCCCCUAGGAUACAAGAGCUCUUUUUCUUAUAGGAAUUCAGAGAAACAUACAUACCCCUUUAUCUCUUCUUGGAACUGAUCCCUAUUCAUUUCUUCUUAGAUGUUGAGUUGCUUCCCCUAAGUUCUUCUUGCUUGGAUUUUCACAUCUUCCCAUUCUUCUUCAUCACUUGUCAGAGGAUCAUUUUGUGUUUCUGAGGCAAAAACGACAAACUUUUUUUCUCUGUCACAUGGUCACUCAAC
rnacentral:sRNA from 1 species